AUCUUGUAGUAAUAUGCAGUAUUCAUCUUUCCUUGUAGUGGAUCAAUAACUGCAUAGGAAGAAAAAAUUACAAAAGGUUCUUCAUCCUCAUGGUGUUUGCUCUUCUCUUGGUCCUUUUCAUUCUGAUUGACUAUUGAUUGGUCUCCAUGCUUUGUGCACCUUGGGCCAGCUUAUUCUGCAGUGGGCUGUUGGGAUGCUUGUGCUGAUACUGUGUUUUGUUGAGAGAAGGAGAUUUUCUGCUGAAAUUGUUUCAAAGCUGGGUAGUAGCUUUUCCUUGGCACCCUUUAUCAUUGUGGUGGCUGUGUGCACUUUAUUAGCCAUGGUUGCUACUCUUCCAGUUGCACAACUUUUCUUCUUCCAUAUUCUUUUAAUAAAAAAGGUACACUACUUUCAUAUUUCUACUUGUGACACAGCAAACACUACCAGUUACACAGCUCCUACAUUUAUAUAAAACAAACCUAUGUA